rnacentral:lncRNA from 1 species
UUUUAAAAAAAAAACUUUUUCUCUAGUUUUUUUAUUUUAUUAGUAAAACCGAAUGCUUCAUUUGGGAUUGCAGAGAGAUUGUUUUACGUAUGGUGAGAAAGUACGAUGAAAAAAUAUUCUGUUUGUUUCGGUACGUAAUAUUGUAUUCUGCAUACCGCAACGAGUCGGUUAUGAUAUAUUUUCUGCGGUCCCGCAGGAGAACGCAGAACCUUAUCCCUAUAUACUUUUAUCCCGACUUUAUUUUAUCUAAUAAUGUUAGAUAGACAUCAAUACCAAAUCAACCCUUAAUAAGAAAUUCUACCACCUUCUUUACUUAUUUUGCUGAAACUUAGUUAUAUUACAUGCAUUUUUCACAUAAUAAAUAUUUUAUUUUAGCAUAAAUGAUCAAAGUUUAGUGCAUUCUUAAUAUAUAGAUAAUUAAACUUUAGGCCAAUAAUUAUAGUUAGAUAAUAUUUUGUUUUUGGGUGUAGUCAAAGUGAAAACAACGUAUAAUUUUUUUAUUUCUAUAUAUAUAUAUAUUCUCUUAUGAGGAACUAGACUGGAAUGCUAUCAAUAACACCAAGCUAUCGGUAUUAUUAAUUUUUUAGCCCUUGGAUUCAGAAAUGUGCAAUUAGGAUGAUAUGGACCCAUUAGGGUUGAGUGGGUGGUUGAUUGAAUAGGAUAAUCUAAUGAAUAAAAAUGAUCAAAGGGUUAAAUCUAACGGUGGAAAACUCGAUAGCAUCAAGCCCUUAGUGCUAUCGAUAGUAUCCCAGCUGAACUCAUCUUAUGAGUAUACUCUUACGAGUAUAGACUUUUUUGUACUUAUAAGUAUUCCAAGCUGUAUAGACUCUUAUGAGUAUAGAUUUCUUUGUACUUAUAAGGAUACUCCUUUUAUGAGUAUCCCAGCUGGACUCCUCUUAUGAGUAUACUCUUACGACUAUAAACUUUUUUGUACUUAUAAAUUUUCUGCCGUUAGAUUUACCUUUUUAAUCAUUUUCACCCGUUAGAUCAUACUAUUUAACUAACCACCCAUUCAACCUUAGGAGACCAUUAUCAUCUUACUUGAAAAUCAUUAUAAUUCUAAACGCACGCCUUUAUUUAAUUGCUAAAAAUUUAUGAGUACAAAAAAAUCUAUACUCAUAAGAGUAGAGUAGUCCUAUCCUCUAUAUAUAUAUAUAUAUAUAACUUAAAAAAAAAAUCGAGGGAUAAAUUCGUCAUUUGACAGGACUUUUUUUAUAAACUAACUCUCUAAAAUUUUAAAAAUUGUGAAAUAAUCCUUCAAAAAUUAUAUUUGUAAAACUAACUCUCCUUUCGCUACGUAGGCAGAGGAAAAUUUUUUAUUAUAAAGGUGGUGAAUCGUUCACCGUCUUCAGUAAGACAGUGAAUUAACGAUUCAUCAUCUUACUAAUAUAAUUAGUAAAGACGGUAAAUGGUUCACCGUCUUUUGCUUAUUUAAUAUUUUUUCUUAUAUCCCAUAUAUAAUCUUAACAACAACAUAAAAAUUAUAACAAAUCACAUAUAAUUUUAACAACCUAAAAAUUCUAAUAAUCUAUCCAUACAAUUCUAACAAUUAAAUAAAAAUUUUAAUAAUCCUCAUAUAAUUCUAAAAAUCUCACUUUUUUCUAUCUCCCAUCUAACAGCCUCACAUUUUUAUGUACGUGGAUUAUAUGGAAAAUAGAAAAAAGUUAGAAGAAAAAUAGAAAAAAGUGAGUUUGUUAGGAUUAUACGUGGAUUAUAUGGAAAAUAAAAAAAAAGUGAGGUUGUUUGAUGAAAAAUAGGAAAAAGUGAGGUUUUUAGUAUGCGUAUUAAAAUUUGUAUUUGAUUGUUAGAAUUAUAUGGAUAGAUUAUUAGGAUUUUCAGGUUGUUAAGAUUAUAUGUGAUUUGUUAUAGUUUUUACGUGGUUGUUAAGAUUAUAUGUGAUUUGUUAUAGUUUUUAUGUGGUUGUUAAGAUUAUAUAUGGGAUAUAAAAAAAAUAUUAAAUAAGCAAAAGACGGUGAAUCAUUCACCGUCUUUACUAAUUAUAUUAGUGCUGAAGGUGGUGAACGAUUCACCGCUUUUAUAAAAAAAAUUCAUUAGUACUGAAGGCGGUAAAUCGUUCACCGCCUUUUUCUAAAAAAAAUCUAUUCUUACGCCUACGUGGCAAAAUGAAGGUUAGUUUUACAAAUAUAAUUUUAAAAAGAUCAUUUCGCAAAUUUUAAAAUUCUAGGCCACCGUUUGUUUCGAGGUUAAGUAAAAACUUGUUAUUUCAGGAAUAGAAUUAAGUUCAGGGUUAAGAUGGGGUUAGAGUAAUUUUGUGUUUGGUUGAGAAUUGGGUUUAGUUCAGGUAUAAAUAAAAUAGUGUUUGGUUGGAGUAGGUGGGAUAAGGAGGGUAGUAGGUAAAAUAAUAUUUUGUUUGGUUAUAGUAGUAGGAUGGGAUGAGGUAAUUCCAUCCCUAAAUUAGAUGUUUGGAAAUAACUUCGAAGUUAAAGGGUUAUUCCAUCCGUUAAUCCUGAACUAAACGGGUGCUAGAGGAUUAAUUU